AACGAACGCUGGCGGCGUGGAUUAGGCAUGCAAGUCGUACGCGAAAAUCUCCUUCGGGGGAUGAGUAGAGUGGCGAACUGGUGAGUACAAGGUGACUAACCUGCCCUUGAGUGGGGGAUAACUUCGGGAAACCGAAGCUAAUACCGCAUGGUUUCUUGAUCUCUCGGGAUUGAGAAUAAAGCAGCAAUGCGCUCAAGGAUGGGGUCACCCCCCAUUAGCUUGUUGGUAGGGUAACGGCCUACCAAGGCUGCGAUGGGUAGCUGGACUGAGAGGUUGGCCAGCCACACUGGGACUGAGAUACGGCCCAGACUCCUACGGGGGGCAGCAGUCUAGAGGCUUCGACAAUGACCGAAAGGUUGAUCGAGCGACGCCGCGUGCGGGAUGACGGUCUUCGGAUUGUAAACCGCUUUUGUUUGGGAAGAAGGCCUGUAUCGUGAAUAUGGGAUUGACGGUACCAAACGAAUAAGCCCCGGCUAACUCCGUGCCAGCCGCCGCCGUAACAC
rnacentral:rRNA from 1 species